rnacentral:rRNA from 1 species
UACGUAGGGUGCAAGCGUUGUCCGGAAUUAUUGGGCGUAAAGAGCUUGUAGGCGGUUUGUCGCGUCUGCCGUGAAAUUUCGGGGCUCAACCCCGAACUUGCGGUGGGUACGGGCAGACUAGAGUGUGGUAGGGGAGACUGGAAUUCCUGGUGUAGCGGUGAAAUGCGCAGAUAUCAGGAGGAACACCGGUGGCGAAGGCGGAUCUCUGGGCCAUUACUGACGCUGAGGAGCGAAAGCGUGGGGAGCGAACAGG